GGGCCCUGAGCCAAAGACCCGGGAGAAACCGAUCUGGGUGCAAGAGCCGGUGCGACUUUCACGGCUUGUGGGAAGUUUGUGGGCUAGAAAGAUCUAGUCAAGAGGACUCUCUCCCUCUGUACAAAGUGUUCUCUAACUCAUGUACCGGUCAUCACGGUAGUGUCUGCCUCAAACACCUGGGACCUACCUUAGUGUGGGAGGUGAUUCUCCCUGCAGGUAACCUAAUUUGUUGCUGCAUUCAUGGAGAACAAACCACUGCUUAUCUAUGGGAAGCAUUUUAAGCAUGCAGACCUCUCAAAGAAAACAAAAACAAAAACAAAAACAAAAAAGACCGUGGAUGUUUAAACAAGAAGCCUUCCAGAAGUCAUGUAAAGGAGGAAGUACCUAGCCCAGGAUCUGUCACAUAACAAGUAGUUACAAAUAUUUGCAGAAUAAAUAGCAAUUUCCAUCGUCAAA